AUUGAACGCUGGCGGCAUGCCUUACACAUGCAAGUCGAACGGCAGCACGGGAGCAAUCCUGGUGGCGAGUGGCGAACGGGUGAGUAAUAUAUCGGAACGUGCCCAGUCGUGGGGAUAACGUAGCGAAAGCUACGCUAAUACCGCAUACGAUCUAUGGAUGAAAGCGGGGGAUCGCAAGACCUCGCGCGAUUGGAGCGGCCGAUAUCAGAUUAGGUAGUUGGUGNGGUAAAGGGCUCACCAAGCCGACGAUCUGUAGCUGGGUCUGAGAGGACGACCAGCCCACAACCUGGGACUGAGACACGGCCCAGACUCCUACGGGAGGCAGCAGUGGGGAAUUUUGGACAAUGGCGCAAGCCUGAUCCAGCCAUUCCGCGUGCAGGAUGAAGGCCUCGGUGUAAC
rnacentral:rRNA from 1 species